GACGAACGCUGGCGGCGUGCCUAAUACAUGCAAGUAGAACGCUGAAGGAGGAGCUUGCUCUUCUGGACGAGUUGCGAACGGGUGAGUAACGCGUAGGUAACCUGCCUGGUAGCGGGGGAUAACUAUUGGAAACGAUAGCUAAUACCGCAUAACAGUAGAUGUUGCAUGACAUUUGCUUAAAAGGUGCAAUUGCACCACUACCAGAUGGACCUGCGUUGUAUUAGCUAGUUGGUGGGGUAACGGCUCACCAAGGCGACGAUACAUAGCCGACCUGAGAGGGUGAUCGGCCACACUGGGACUGGGAAACGGCCCAGACUUCUACGGGAGGCAGCAGGAGGGAAUCUUCGGCAAUGGACGGAAGUCUGACCGAGCAACGCCGGGUGAGUGAAGAAGGUUUUCGGAUCGUAAAGCUCUGUUGUAAGAGAAGAAAGAGUGUGAGAGUGGAAAGUUCACACUGUGACGGUAUCUUACCAGAAAGGGACGGCUAACUACGUG
rnacentral:rRNA from 1 species